AUUGAACGCUGGCGGCAGGCCUAACACAUGCAAGUCGAACGAGUGGCGGACGGGUGAGUAAUGUCUGGGAAACUGCCUGAUGGAGGGGGAUAACUACUGGAAACGGUAGCUAAUACCGCAUACCAUCGGAUGUGCCCAGUUGGGAUUAGCUAGUAGGUGGGGAAAAGGCUCACCUAGGCGACGAUCCCUAGCUUGUCUGAGAGGAUGACCAGCCACACUGGAAAUGAGACACGGUCCAGACUCCUACGGGAGGCAGCAGUGGGGAAUAUUUGCCAAUGGGCGCAAGCCUGAUGCAGCCAAGGCGCGUGGAUGAAGAAGGCCUUCGGGUUGUAAAGUUCUUUCAGCGGGGAAGCGUUACCCGAAGAAGAAGCACCGGCUAACUCCGUGCCAGCAGCCGCGGUAAUAC
rnacentral:rRNA from 1 species